UACGUAGGUGGCGAGCGUUAAUCGGAAUUACUGGGCGUAAAGGGUGCGCAGGCGGUUGUGCAAGACAGAUGUGAAAUCCCCGGGCUCAACCUGGGAAUUGCAUUUGUGACUGCACAGCUAGAGUGUGUCAGAGGGGGGUAGAAUUCCACGUGUAGCAGUGAAAUGCGUAGAUAUGUGGAGGAAUACCGAUGGCGAAGGCAGCCCCCUGGGAUAACACUGACGCUCAUGCACGAAAGCGUGGGGAGCAAACAGG
rnacentral:rRNA from 1 species